UUCCUGAAAUGAAGAAAGUGUGGGAAAACCAGCAAUGAAUUUUGAGUGAAAGAAAUGAUUCCAUUCCAUUUUGGUACUAAACACAAAUUUCUGGGUAUAUAACAUCAAGAUCCAUGGAAAGAAGAUCCAACACAUUUCUCUUCCAGCCAAGAACAAAUGUAACUACUGGCUAUUGGCUUUAAUGGAUUGAAGUGGAUUCUACUUUUUAAAGAAAUAACAAAGCCAGCAUGGACCUUCAGCUUACCUGUCAGAGUGAUCUGAGCCUCCACGUCUGAAAGUGUUAAACAGAAGCAAAUUGUUUGACUCAACCCUGAAUGAUAGAGUCAUUUUGGAAAGAGAUGGGAAAUCGAUGCUUGUCAUCCCCCAAAGCAGAGCGCUUUCUUCAGACCAGCAAUUUGUACAGUGUAAUCUGCCCUGAGUCCACAAAGUUACAAUGCCAAGCGUAGCAAUCUUAAAAUGACAGGCUGUAAAAUUUAGGCUUAUCAUCACUGGAUUCAUAGGAACAAGAGUGAACUUCAUAAUGAUCGUGCCACACCACAAAGGGAUAAAAUAAAAACCCAACUCAAUGUGAUGAAGCCGGCUUUCUUCCUUCUCUUUCCAUCUUAAAUACUGGGAAAUCAGAUUUAACCGAAUUCCU